UGCGUAGGCGGAAUAUUAAGUCAGUGGUGAAAUCCUGCGGCUCAACCGUAGAACUGCCAUUGAUACUGAUAUUCUAGAAUGUAGUUGAGGUAGGCGGAAUGUGUAAUGUAGCGGUGAAAUGCUUAGAUAUUACACAGAACACCGAUUGCGAAGGCAGCUUACUAAACUAUGAUUGACGCUGAGGCACGAGAGCGUGGGGAGCAAACAGGAUUAGAUACCCUGGUAGUCC
rnacentral:rRNA from 1 species